AGAGACGGCUCGCGCGUCCUUUUGUUCGUACGUUCGGAGCGUGGAAAUAUGAGCCUAAAAGCUGUGAUGGUGUUGCUGUUACACACAAUGAGCUCUGUGACGUGAUAAUGCUACUCUUAAGAUGAAGAUGAAAUUUAGAGCAGCUGGGACGCAUUUGGCAUUGGGUCUUCAGUUUCUGAUUCCUAACAUGCAUCAAUGAUACAGGAGCACUCCUAGGCUAAAGACAGCCAUUAUGUUUGAAAAAAGUGUUUGAAGUCGAAGAAUGUAAUCUGAAGUUGGCUUCGCCGAAGUUACAUCAUGCAUGAGCCUCUAGUCUUUGAAGAUUUGAAGAAAAUCAGUGUAUUAAAAAUGUAAACAUUAAAUGUAACAUCAGAAUGUGUUCUUUUUUUUUUAAAGAGAAUGUAAUUGUGAUUGUAUGCAAUAAGUUGUAAAAAAUAAAAGAUUUAAUGCACCA